UAGGGUCAGGGAGGAUCAGAUAGGCCAUCUGUAACUGCCAAUGGCCAGAACUAUCAACUCUCAUCCUUAUUUCUUUCUUUGUUAUCUCAUUCAGGGUAGUUACAAUACCAGGGGGGAAAAAAUACUUGGAGAAAGCUGACUGAAAAGCUGGCUCUGGGCCCUGUUGUCUCUUAAGAAUCCUCCCUCCUACUCCCUGGGAACUGAGGGUUAUUUUAUUCAUAGUGCCCAAUGGAGGGAGGGGAAUGGCAAUGGUUUAGUCUUUUAUUUCAGCAAGCGAAGAGGGGCUUAUCAAGUUAUUUAGGUGAGGUUAUUCAGGAACAAAAAAUACUGCAAAGGGCCAGGAAUAACUACUGGAGCAAAGGAUCCAGCGCACCAAGAGAAGAGUCAGGCACCGCCUGGGUUACUGCUGAAGAAGAGAUAGCUCUGAAAAUCUAGGAUUUACUAUGAGGCCAUGCACAAACUGUGCCCAUUCAAAGGCUUCCCAGGCAGUGAACACUGACUUACACAAAGGAAGCUCUCAGGGACUGAUGGGCAUCCAGGAAUACUCUCAUCUAAACCACAGCAAAGGUAGCUAAGGAGCCUAGACCUAAGAAGUACCUCCAUCCCCUAUUCAAAACUUCCCAGAGGUAGGUACCUUCAUGGGAAAAUGGUGAAGCCAAUGUAAUAGGAAUGAGAUGAUAAAAAAAAAUGCUACAUAAACAGAAACAUCACCCGGCACACAGGAUGACCUCUAUCUGACCUAUUGUGGAACUAGGAGAAAGAAACAGAAAAAUGCACAUGUGUAUAAUGACCAAGAGGACCUCUACACCUUGAUAAUAAAAUAAGUAAAAGUGAA